CAGAGCUGUGCCUGGACGACACGUGGAUCUGAAUCCCACCAGGUACCAGGCUGGCUGGGACAGGCGCUUGUGUACCAAAGGGCCGCCUGCUCACUGAGCAUCUUUGCCCUUGCUGUAGGUGCUGCCACAUCUUACCACCAACGGCCCACAGACUGACUUCUGCACUAGCCUUGGCACAAUAGCCUGUGACCGUUCCAGAGAAGUUCUGGGGCAGGAGCCUGGCUGACUGAUCAAUCCAUAGUCAUUCAAAAAUUGCUGUAGUGGGGACAGAAAAGAGGAUGGGCUAGUUUGAGCACCAUGGCACUAUAAAAGGCUGGGAACCUGGAGGAUACACUGCCAACAGUGGAGGUGGAAGUAGGUGCUUCCCAGUGGGAGUGUUUGACCUUGUAACAGACAUCCUGAUGGAGCAAGAACAGUGGCAUAGAGUGUGCAAAGCUGUAUGAAUUCGACUGUGCGGACCAGGGAUCUUGGCAGUGUCACUGUGAGCUGCUGCGAUCAAUAUGAGUUGCUGCAAUCCAUCCUUACAGGUGAGUGAAGGGUUCCCUGUACUUGUGAGAUCUUCACAUCACAGCUGGAUGCCUUUCUGAGAGGGGGGCUUUAUUUGAACCCAAGUAACUGGGCUCACUACCAGAAUAACUGAGUGAGAUGUAAUGGCCAGUGAAGUAGAGGAGGUCAGGCAAGAUGCUCUUACCUUAAAAUCUCUGAAAUCUGUUUUUGAGCUGGCUGGGAAGCCUCCCAGGCUGCUUCAGGGAGCAAGGCAUGGUUAGGACUGCCAAACUCUUUGUUUUAUGACUGUUAAAGCAGAUGUCAAAAUGGCUUGAAAAUGUGAAAAGAGGAGUGGCCAGGGGGCUAGGAAAUGGAUUAAAGGUGUUUCCACUUGUCUUCUCUGUACCCAGGCAGGCACCAACAGUUGGCAGUAAUUUCAUUGGUGGUUUAAUAAGAACCAAAUAUCUUUGGAGUGAAAGACUAUAACACUCAAAACCUAGGAGGAGAGGGGAGAGGUCG